rnacentral:rRNA from 1 species
AGGGGAUCGCAAGACCUUGCGCUCAUGGAGCGGCCGAUAUCUGAUUAGCUAGUUGGUAGGGUAAAAGCCCACCAAGGCGACGAUCAGUAGCUGGUCUGAGAGGACGACCAGCCACACUGGGACUGAGACACGGCCCAGACUCCUACGGGAGGCAGCAGUGGGGAAUUUUGGACAAUGGGGGCAACCCUGAUCCAGCAAUGCCGCGUGUGUGAAGAAGGCCUUCGGGUUGUAAAGCACUUUUGUUAGGGAAGAAACGGUUCGGGUUAAUACCCGGAGCUAAUGACGGUACCUAAAGAAUAAGCACCGGCUAACUACGUGCCAGCAGCCGCGGUAAUACGUAGGGUGCAAGCGUUAAUCGGAAUUACUGGGCGUAAAGCGUGCGCAGGCGGUUAUGUAAGACAGAUGUGAAAUGCCCGGGCUCAACCUGGGAACUGCGUUUGAAACUACA